UGCUCCAUUCUCCUCUCAAAGGAGACGAAAAACUGACCUGUUGAGUAAACCAUAAUUCCCUUCCUCUAUCGUCAUUUCCAAAUCAACCCAACAGUCAACUUUGAUCGAUUUUUUUAAUAAAUAUGAAAUAAUUUUUCUCUCAAUUUCCAACUAAAAUUCUGAUCGCUUCUUUUGAUCGACCAACGUUAAUCGGAAAAUUUUAAUUGAUAAUUAUCGAAUUUCUAGUAAUGUAUAGUAACCACAUUACAUUCAUAGUAGCUCAUCAACUAUUAAUUGUUAGAUUAUAAAUCCGACUAAAACUUAAUAGCCUUCAUAUCGAAUUAUUUGGAAUAACAACAUAAGCGGAAGCGUACCUGAAUCCAU
rnacentral:lncRNA from 1 species